GCCUCAGUAAAGAACUGGUGGGUCUGUACCAUGCACAUACCCAAAAAAGAGUGUGGCACGAGAGAUGACAGAUGACAGCAACAAAACCAGUGUGGGGACUGCGGGGAACUCUCAGGUUGAUUUUAAAGAGGAAGUCUGAAUAGGAAUCAUUUACUACUCCCAUGAUUACACAAGAAAAUGAUAUCAUCAGCAGGAUGAAAGACUGUACAGAGAGACAGCAACAUUCAUUACUUCCCAGCUGAAAUCAGGACUCAACCUGGAAACAAAAGCUUCGGUUCCUCUGCGGUUGGGUAAUUAAACACAGAAGGGGCUGAACAGAAAAGGCUUUUCAUUUGCCACUACACAGACCCUAAAGUGAGCUGGUGUGGAAGACAGGCUGUGAAGAGGAAGAGCAAGUCAGUACUGAUAUCAAAGACAAGAGCUGGAAGGAGCAGCUAUAUUAAAACCCAUUAUGAGAUGAGC
rnacentral:lncRNA from 1 species